rnacentral:rRNA from 1 species
UACACUCCUGCGGGAGGCAGCAGUGGGGAAUUUUGGACAAUGGGCGAAAGCCUGAUCCAGCCAUGCCGCGUGCAGGAUGAAGGCCUUCGGGUUGUAAACUGCUUUUGUACGGAACGAAACGGCCUUUUCUAAUAAAGAGGGCUAAUGACGGUACCGUAAGAAUAAGCACCGGCUAACUACGUGCCAGCAGCCGCGGUAAUACGUAGGGUGCAAGCGUUAAUCGGAAUUACUGGGCGUAAAGCGUGCGCAGGCGGUUAUGUAAGACAGUUGUGAAAUCCCCGGGCUCAACCUGGGAACUGCAUCUGUGACUGCAUAGCUAGAGUACGGUAGAGGGGGAUGGAAUUCCGCGUGUAGCAGUGAAAUGCGUAGAUAUGCGGAGGAACACCGAUGGCGAAGGCAAUCCCCUGGACCUGUACUGACGCUCAUGCACGAAAGCGUGGGGAGCAAACAGGAUUAGAAACCCGAGUAGUCCCA